rnacentral:snRNA from 1 species
CACGUGGCAUAAUCCUAUG